rnacentral:lncRNA from 1 species
UUUUUAAAUGAGCUAUUGAUAAUUAAGAUAUCACCAAAGUGAGUCUUUAUUAUCUGGAGUAGUUUAUAGAAAAAUUAUAAAUGUUCGUGUUUAUGCAUAUCCAUGCGAGUAUUGGUCGGCCCAAAGGAAGAUUAAUAUUUGGCCGGAUUGUAUACGCACCUGUGGUGGUAACAUGUGAUAAUUAUAAGGUAUUUUACGUGUCAAUAAUAAAAUCAAUCCAAAGAUAGGNUUGUUAUUGGACAUGUUCUUAUU